rnacentral:lncRNA from 1 species
GGAAAACUCGGCUCUCCCGCUGUCCCGGGUAGGAAGCCGGGAUUUCGCUUUUGCCCGACUCCCUCGGGGCACUCGCCCUCUCCUCUCUUCCUCGCUUUCUCGCUUUCUCUCUUUCUCUCUUUCUCUUUCUUUCCUUUCUCUCUCUUCUUUUUGUUUCUUUUCUUCUUUCUUUCCUCUUUUUCUUUUCCUUUUCUUUUCCUGUCUUUCCUCUUCUCCCUCUUGCGCCCCCCCCCCCACCCCCAACUUUUUCUCUUUCUGUUUCUCUGGCUGUCACUGUCUCUCUGUCUUCUCCCUGUCUUCUCUCUCUUCGUUUUUUUCUUUAACCUUCUUUAUUAAAAAGAAAAGAAGAGGCCACAUCAGAAGAUUUCCAUUUCUAAGGCACCUUGUACUUUUAUAUCUUUUCCCUCCUUUGAAACACCAAACAGGACCCAACUCCUAAACAAGUCCAAAGGGACAAGUAAAACUGGGGUGUCAGUCGCUUGAGUUUGUUAUAACUUUCUCUUCUUCUCAGUGCCCUUCCUCACCCCCCUUUUCGGAUUAGAAGUUCAUAUUGCAAUAAUUCGCCAACAUGUUGGAAGGGCUGGAAAUAAACAAAAAGCAUUUACCAAGGACAACAGCCCACCCACCCUGAGAUGGGGAAAAUGCUUGCAAAAAUCUGGCCGUUUCAGAAGAGAAUAUAGAUUUCCUGGUAAAAUAUAUCCCAGCCACCCAGCUAGUAACACUAGUGGCUGUUGCCCCAUUUUCUGUUCAUAGUAUAAUUAAGACUAAAAGUACUUACACGUAUGUGUAUACACACACACACACACACACACACACACCCUCCCUCCUCCAGGCCACAGGGCAGGGUAGCUAACAGCCAGUGAGCAGGGAGGAUCUUGUACCACAUCCAGCAGGAACUUGCGUGUGUCUUAAAGUUGGAGGCCAGUUACUCAGUGACAUCUGUUCAGUGACAUCAAAAGUGAUGUCUGUCAAGCCUUUUUCUCUUCGUGUCUGCCAGGAUUAAUGAGGCAAUGUUUGGAAAGGGCUUAAGCCCCCACCAAGAAAGGCACCCAAGACAGCUUUUCAAAGAAUGAUUUAUGUCCAGCUUUAUCUAAAUAGGAACCGAAAAAGCAUUUUUCUUGUCUGUAGAGCAGGUGAACUCAACACCUGACUUCUUGCUCAGGUGCAUUUCAGAAGCUUUCAAAUCUGCCUUAUUAAUUGGUCUGAUACCUCUUUACCAUGAAGGCACUUUUUUUUUUUUUCUUUCUUCCUGAGACCCCAGAAAAGGUCAUAUCAAGGCUGAGUUUGUACAACCUUGGAGGAAUAUGACUGGUUCCAAAGACUUGGUUUCCUUCACUGCUGCUUAUGGUGAGAACAAUGUCCCCCAACCUGAACCCUCCUCCCUCCCCUGCACACUCAUAAAUCUUGUGGUGAUUUAGUUCCCCUCAAUGCUUGACACUCCUAAGCUGUAGUAAUUUGAGCCAAGCAUACUUUCUGGUUUUAUCCAGUAUACCUGCGGUUAUACCACUCACCGAGAAGUGGAUCACAGCUCUGUUUUCAACUUCUUUUUUUUUGAGACACAUUUUCACUCUUGUUGCCCAGGCUGGAGUGCAAUGACAUGAUCUCGGCUUACCGCAUCCUCCGCCUCCCGGGUUCAAGCCAUUCUCCUGCCUCAGCCUCCCGAGUAGCUGGGAUUACAGACAUGCGUCACUGCACCUGGCCAAUUUUGUAUUUUUAGUAGAGACGGGAUUUCUCCAUGUUGGCCAGGCUAGUCUUGAACUCCCGACCUCAGGUGAUCCACCCACUUCAGCCUCCCAAAGUGCUUGGAUUACAGGCGUGAUGGACUGUGCCCGGCCUGUUUUCCACUUCUUAUGGGGACAUUUUCCAUCUCUGAUAUUUGUCUUGUGCUUUGCAAUCCCAGGGGGCAGCCUCAUCUCUUCCUAGUCCUUAUGUUGGGUAAAAGUGUCUCUACUCCUGCCACUGCUCCACCUAGCCACUUUGGCGUCUCCCUUGCUGUUUUGUUUUGUUUUGUUUUGUUUUUUUCCUUUUGAGACAGAGUCUUGCUCUAUCACCCAGGCUGGAAUGCAAUGGCGCGAUCUCCGCUCACUGCAGCCUCCACCUUCCAGGUUCAAGUGAUUCUCCUGCCUCAGCCUCCUGAGUAGCUGGGAUUACAGGUGCCUGCCACCACGCCUGGCUAAUUUUUGUAUUUUUAGUAGAGAUGGGAUUUCACCAUGUUGGCCAGGCUGGUCUUGAACUGCUGACCUCACUCGAUCCACCAACCCGCCUCAGCCUCCCAAAGUGCUGGGAUUACAGGUAUGAGCCACUGUGCCUGGCCAUCAUCAUGUGUUUAUACCAAACUUCUCCCCGUCCCCUCAGUGAACUCCCCACAGCCCUCUGGGCCCCCCAUGCUCUUAGAUCUGCCCUCCUCUCUGCCGGGAAUGUUCUUUUCCUCUCUUCACUGCCUAGUGAACUUCUUCCCACUCAAAGCCCAGAUACAGUGCUGCUGCUUCUCCAAAGCGUUCCCAAGUUUUUCACCCAGAGCCAGCCUCCUCUGUCUUCCAUGCCUUGCUGUCCGCUCACACUCCCAUAGUGGUGUAUGUUGGACUCCAGCGAUCUUUUGACCUGCCUGUCUCCUUCACUGGAAGGGCUCCUUCCAGUGUGGGCUUCUCCACACAGGGAUUGGGUCUUGUUUGACUUUGUGUCCUAAGAGUACAUAGAGCCCUAAUGCAUGGAAAGGCUCAGUGAAUGUUUGUUGAAUGAAUAAAAGAAUGAAUGAAGCCAGGCUUGGUGGCUUACAUCUGUAAUCCCAGCACUUUGGGAAGCUGAGACAGGCAGAUCACCUGAGGUCAGGAGUUCGAGACCAGCCUAGCCAACAUAGUGAAACCCCGUCUCUACUAAAAGUACAAAAAUUAGCCGGGCAUGGUGGCAGGCACCUGUAAUCCCAGCUACUCAGGAGGCUGAGGCAGGAGAAUCACUUGAACCCGGGAGGCGGAGGUGGCAGUGAGUUGAGAUCGUGCCACCGCACUCCAGCCUGGGUGACACAGCUAGACUCCAUCUCAAAAGAGAAAAAAAAGAAUGAAUGGACCGAGAACCCAUUCUCUAGGGAAAUCACAGCCUAUCUGACAGGAUUAUGGAGUGCUCUAGGGCCUUGCACAUGUCCCCCAACCCCCAGCCUCCAGAGCUCACUUCUGACUUGAUUUAAUGAGAUGAUGCAGUGAUUUGUAUAACUCUAAGCUCCUUCUCCCUUUGUGUCACUGAAUCAGCCUAACAUUAUUAUCCCAACCCACAAGAGGGUGAGGGAGAGGGAGACAGGCUGAAGGAGAGGAGGUGACUAGCAAAGGUUUUGUAUCCUUUGCUAAGGAUACAAGAAGUGGGAGAGCCAGGCUCAGGUCAACUUGAAUACAAAGAUCCCACCCCAUCCCCACCCCACCAAACGUAUAUUCAUGAACACACACACACAUACAGACACACAUACACACACAGAUCUAGCCAUUUGGCAGCCCAGUAAUAUACGUAUUGUUACUAUUUCCAUUGUAUAGAUGAGAAAACUGAGACUCAAAGAGGUUAGAUACUUGCUCAGAGUAACACAGCUAUGUAGGAAAAACCAAGUAGGAAAAAUACAUUCUUAUUGCCAUAACAAGCAACUAGACCAAGGAUUUGGAAGCAGAAGAGAUAAAAAGACAUGAAUCCCAAUGAUUUGGCUUUAUGCCAUCUCUAUCAUUUUAGACAAUCUUGAUGGUACGAAGAUGCUGGAGUCUGGGAUUCUUUUUUUUUUUUUUGAGACAGUCUUGCUCUGUCGCCCAGGCUGGAGUGCAGUGGCACGAUCUCGGCUCACUGCAAGCUCUGCCUCCCGGGCUCAUGCCAUUCUCCUGCCUCAGCCUCCCGAGUAGCUGGGACUACAGGCACCCGCCACCACGCCUGGCUAAUUUUUUUGUAUUUUUAGCGGAGACAGGGUUUCAUCGCGUUAGCCAGGAUGGUCUCGAUCUCCUGACCUCGUGAUCCACCCGCCUCGGCCUCCCAAGUGCU